rnacentral:rRNA from 1 species
CUACGUAGGGGGCGAGCGUUGUCCGGAAUGAUUGGGCGUAAAGGGCGCGUAGGCGGCGCGGUAAGUCUGGAGUGAAAGUCCUGCUUUCAAGGUGGGAAUUGCUUUGGAUACUGCCGCGCUUGAGUGCAGGAGAGGUUAUCGGAAUUCCCGGUGUAGCGGUGAAAUGCGUAGAGAUCGGGAGGAACACCAGUGGCGAAGGCGGGUAACUGGACUGCAACUGACGCUGAGGCGCGUAAGUGUGGGGAGCAAACAGGAUUAGAUACCCUGGUAGUCCACACUGUAAACGAUGAAUGCUAGGUGUAAGAGGUAUCGACCCCUUUUGUGCCGGAGUCAACACAAUAAGCAUUCCGCCUGGGGAGUACGGCCGCAAGGUUGAAACUUAAAGGAAUUGACGGGG